rnacentral:rRNA from 1 species
AUACGUAGGUGGCAAGCGUUGUCCGGAAUUAUUGGGCGUAAAGCGCGCGCAGGCGGCCCUUUAAGUCUGAUGUGAAAGCCCACGGCUCAACCGUGGAGGGUCAUUGGAAACUGGGGGACUUGAGUGCAGAAGAGGAAAGUGGAAUUCCAAGCGUAGCGGUGAAAUGCGUAGAGAUUUGGAGGAACACCAGUGGCGAAGGCGACUUUCUGGUCUGUAACUGACGCUGAGGCGCGAAAGCGUGGGGAGCAAACAGGAUUAGAUACCCUGGUAGUCCACGCCGUAAACGAUGAGUGCUAAGUGUUAGGGGGUUUCCGCCCCUUAGUGCUGCAGCUAACGCAUUAAGCACUCCGCCUGGGGAGUACGGUCGCAAGACUGAAACUCAAAUGAAUUGACGGGG